GAUGAACGCUGGCGGCGUGCCUAAUACAUGCAAGUCGAGCGAACAGACGAGGAGCUUGCUCCUCUGACGUUAGCGGCGGACGGGUGAGUAACACGUGGAUAACCUACCUAUAAGACUGGGAUAACUUCGGGAAACCGGAGCUAAUACCGGAUAAUAUAUUGAACCUCAUGGUUCAAUAGUGAAAGACGGUUUUGCUGUCACUUAUAGAUGGAUCCGCGCCGCAUUAGCUAGUUGGUAAGGUAACGGCUUACCAAGGCAACGAUGCGUAGCCGACCUGAGAGGGUGAUCGGCCACACUGGAACUGAGACGCGGUCCAGACUCCUACGGGAGGCAGCAGUAGGGAAUCUUCCGCAAUGGGCGAAAGCCUGACGGAGCAACGCCGCGUGAGUGAUGAAGGUCUUCGGAUCGUAAAACUCUGUUAUUAGGGAAGAACAAAUGUGUAAGUAACUAUGCACGUCUUGACGGUACCUAAUCAGAAAGCCACGGCUAACUACGUG
rnacentral:rRNA from 1 species